UUCCCUGGAAAGGAAACGUGCAGUGGAUCUGGGGUUCCAGGAGCUGAUGGAAGAGCCCAAACUCCUCCUAUCUUCCCGACCAACCCCAUACCUGCCUCCCAUAUCCCCAGGGAUCUCAGAAAAUACUAGGUGUUUCUUGACCUUCCUACCUUCCUUCUUUCAUGGCCAGGCCAGAAUCCCAUCCCCAAAGCAACGACUGAAUGCUACCUCCCUCUGUCUACCUCAAUGCUAUUCCAACCCCCCUUUUAACUUUAUUUCUCCCUCCAUUGAUGCCAAAAAAUAAUCGAGCCACCAUUU